GACAGAGGGUGCAAACGUUGUUCGGAAUUACUGGGCGUAAAGCGCGUGUAGGCUGCUUCGCAAGUCGGGUGUGAAAGCCCUGGGCUCAACCUAGGAAGUGCACUCGAAACUGCGAAGCUUGAGUUCUGGAGAGGAAGGCGGAAUUCUCGGUGUAGAGGUGAAAUUCGUAGAUAUCGAGAGGAACACCGGUGGCGAAGGCGGCCUUCUGGACAGUGACUGACGCUGAGACGCGAAAGCGUGGGGAGCAAACAGG
rnacentral:rRNA from 1 species